UACGUAGGGCGCAAGCGUUGUCCGGAAUUAUUGGGCGUAAAGAGCUCGUAGGCGGCCUGUUGCGUCCGCUGUGAAAUCCCGGGGCUCAACCCCGGGCGUGCAGUGGAUACGGGCUGGCUGGAGGCAGGCAGGGGAGAACGGAAUUCCUGGUGUAGCGGUGAAAUGCGUAGAUAUCGUCUGGAACGCCGAAGGUGAAAACAGCUCGCUGGGGCUGCGCUGACGCUGAGACACGAAAGCCAGGGGAGCGAACGGG
rnacentral:rRNA from 1 species